rnacentral:rRNA from 1 species
CGGGUGCGUAACGCGUAUACAAUCUACCUUUACAGGGGGAUAGCCCAGAGAAAUUUGGAUUAAUACCCCAUGGCAUAUAUUUAUGGCAUCAUAUAUAUAUUAAAGAUUCAUCGGUAAGAGAUGAGUAUGCGUUCUAUUAGCUAGUAGGGUUUUUUUUUUUUUUUUUUUUUUUUUUUCGGAACGGCGCACCUAGGCUACGAUAGAUAGGGGCCCUGAGAGGGGGAUCCCCCACACUGGUACUGAGACACGGACCAG